AACGAACGCUGGCGGCAUGCCUAACACAUGCCAGUCGAACGAAGCCUUCGGGCUUAGUGGCGCACGGGUGCGUAACGCGUGGGAAUCUGCCCUUGGGUUCGGAAUAACAGUUAGAAAUGACUGCUAAUACCGGAUGAUGUCUUCGGACCAAAGAUUUAUCGCCCAAGGAUGAGCCCGCGUAGGAUUAGGUAGUUGGUGGGGUAAUGGCCCACCAAGCCGACGAUCCUUAGCUGGUCUGAGAGGAUGAUCAGCCACACUGGGACUGAGACACGGCCCAGACCCCUACGGGAGGCAGCAGUGGGGAAUAUUGGACAAUGGGCGAAAGCCUGAUCCAGCAAUGCCGCGUGAGUGAUGAAGGCCUUAGGGUUGUAAAGCUCUUUUACCAGGGAUGAUAAUGACAGUACCUGGAGAAUAAGCUCCGGCUAACUCCGUGCCAGCCGCCGCGGUAACAC
rnacentral:rRNA from 1 species